UACAGCCACAGAGGGGGUCUACCAGAAAAUGACCUUCCAGGAGGUGCUGGGGCCCCAGAAAUCCAUGUCGCAGAAAGCCUACCUGAUUAACGUGACGAGCCACAAGAUGAACCAGGUGUUCGGCGCUGCCCAAAUUGCAGUGACAGAGGAGUAGUACGGGCCGAAUCCAUGCAAGAACCUAAUCAAUUACUUUCAGGACGCGUGGAAAGCGAUGGGCCUGCCUGGCUGCCCCACUUUCACGGAUGUGUGGACCUCCAUUGCCAGCCAUGCCAAGUUCACGCACUCAAGCGAGGACCGGCUAAAAAUAUAGAUGUUCAUGUGUUCAUGUGACGGUGGACAAGUUUUUUCGUGACACACCUGUCCACGCAGCAGGCGAUGGAGCACCGCAGGCUCUUUGAGGCUGCCUUAGAGGGUCCGGAGAGGAGCCCACAGAGGCAGGCAACCCCUAAGAAGAGGAAGAGGCCUU